rnacentral:rRNA from 1 species
UGGGGAAUAUUGCACAAUGGGCGAAAGCCUGAUGCAGCGACGCCGCGUGAGGGAUGACGGCCUUCGGGUUGUCAACCUCUUUCAGUAGGGACGAAGCGCAAGUGACGGUACCUGCAGAAGAAGCACCGGCUAACUACGUGCCAGCAGCCGCGGUAAUACGUAGGGUGCGAGCGUUGUCCGGAAUUACUGGGCGUAAAGAGCUCGUAGGCGGUUUGUCACGUCGUCUGUGAAAUCCUAGGGCUUAACCCUGGACGUGCAGGCGAUACGGGAUGACUUGAGUACUACAGGGGAGACUGGAAUUUCUGGUGUAGCGGUGGAAUGCACAGAUAUCAGGAAGAACACCGAUGGCGAAGGCAGGUCUCUGGGUAGUAACUGACGCUGAGGAGCGAAAGCAUGGGUAGCGAACAGG